rfam:Cavia porcellus supercont2_143 genomic scaffold, whole genome shotgun sequence.
GGGGAUUUAGCUCAGCGGCAUAAGCACCUGCCUUGCAAGCAGGUGGUCGUGAGUUCGAUCCCCAGUACCCA